UACGAAGGGGGCUAGCGUUGUUCGGAAUUACUGGGCGUAAAGCGCGCGCAGGCGGUUUUUCAAGUCAGUGGUGAAAGCCCGGAGCUCAACUCCGGAACUGCCAUUGAAACUGUAAAACUUGAGGAUGAGAGAGGUGAGUGGAAUUCCCAGUGUAGAGGUGAAAUUCGUAGAUAUUGGGAAGAACACCGGUGGCGAAGGCGGCUCACUGGCUCAUAUCUGACGCUAAGACGCGAAAGCGUGGGGAGCAAACAGG
rnacentral:rRNA from 1 species